rnacentral:tRNA from 42 species
GGGCGGUUGGCGCAGUGGUAGCGCACUUCCCUGACACGGAAGGGGUCACAAGUUCGAAUCUUGUAUCGCCCACGA